rnacentral:misc_RNA from 1 species
GAUGAAGAACGUAGCGAAGCGCGAAAUGUAAUGUGAAUCGCAGAACAUUGUGAAUCAUCGAAUCUUUGAACGCACAUUGCGCCUCCUGUUACAGGGAGGCAUGCCUGUCUGAGCGUCAUUUAAACCAAUAAACUCAAUUCGAGUUUGUGUUGGGCCCUGCCCCCCCGGGAGGGAGGCAUCGCCUUGAAAUCAUCGGUCUUUAUGAGCGGACGAGCUCCUUCAAGGAAAGAAACCGUUCUGCGACCCUAAAAAGCAAACAAAACUUGACCUCAGAUCAGGUAGGGACACCGCCUGAACUUAAGCAUAUCAAUAAGCGGAGGA